CUGCUGGGGCUGUGGAGUCAG
rnacentral:miRNA from 1 species